GGCGAACGCUGGCGGCGUGCUUAACACAUGCAAGUCGAACGGUGAAGCGCCUUCCUUUUUGGUGGGUGUGGAUGAGUGGCGAACGGGUGAGUAACACGUGAGUAACCUGCCCCCUUCUUCUGGAUAACCGCAUGAAAGUGUGGCUAAUACGGGAUAUUCUGGGUCUGUCGCAUGAUGGGUCUGGGAAAGAUAUUGUUUCGGUGGGGGAUGGGCUCGCGGCCUAUCAGCUUGUUGGUGGGGUGAUGGCCUACCAAGGCGGUGACGGGUAGCCGGCCUGAGAGGUUGGACGGUCACACUGGGACUGAGACACGGCCCAGACUCCUACGGGAGGCAGCAGUGGGGAAUAUUGCACAAUGGGCGCAAGCCUGAUGCAGCGACGCCGCGUGAGGGAUGGAGGCCUUCGGGUUGUGAACCUCUUUCGCCAGUGAAGCAGGCCUGCCUCGUUUGUGGGUGGGUUGACGGUAGCUGGAUAAGAAGCGCCGGCUAACUACGUG
rnacentral:rRNA from 1 species